AUUGAACGCUGGCGGCAUGCCUUACACAUGCAAGUCGAACGGUAACAGGUCUUCGGAUGCUGACGAGUGGCGAACGGGUGAGUAAUACAUCGGAACGUGCCCAGACGUGGGGGAUAACGAGGCGAAAGCUUUGCUAAUACCGCAUACGAUCUAAGGAUGAAAGCAGGGGACCGCAAGGCCUUGUUCGUUUGGAGCGGCCGAUGGCAGAUUAGGUAGUUGGUGGGAUAAAAGCUUACCAAGCCGACGAUCUGUAGCUGGUCUGGGAGGACGACCAGCCACACUGGGACUGAGACACGGCCCAGACUCCUACGGGAGGCAGCAGUGGGGAAUUUUGGACAAUGGGCGAAAGCCUGAUCCAGCAAUGCCGCGUGCAGGAUGAAGGCCUUCGGGUUGUAAACUGCUUUUGUACGGAACGAAAAGGCUCUGGCUAAUACCUGGGGCACAUGACGGUACCGUAAGAAUAAGCACCGGCUAACUACGUG
rnacentral:rRNA from 1 species